rnacentral:lncRNA from 1 species
GGACAAUAAGUUGCUUAUUCUUAGUGUUGAAAAACUCAUGAUAUGUAGAACACUAUUAUUUGGAUACACGAGCAAUAAAUGUUAGGAAUAAUAUUUGUGGCGUGUGCGAUAAUUUGUGAUAAUCCUAAAUCGAAAUGCAUGUUUGCCAUAUGAAUUCGGACUAUGAAUAGGAUCCUCUCGUGGUAAACAUAGGUUUAUUAUAUCUUGGGAAAGAAUAAUAAAUAAAAGUGGAAUUAUCAAUCGUCGCAAUUGCAUGAAUUGAGAUAAUUAUUAUUGGUUGAGAAUUAGAACUAAGAAUUGAUCAGUAGAGUCGAAAAU